GAUGAACGCUGGCGGCGUGCCUAAUACAUGCAAGUCGAGCGAACAGACGAGGAGCUUGCUCCUCUGACGUUAGUGGCGGACGGGUGAGUAACACGUGGAUAACCUACCUAUAAGACUGGGAUAACUUCGGGAAACCGGAGCUAAUACCGGAUGAUAUAUUGAACCGCAUGGUUCAAUAGUGAAAGACGGUUUUGCUGUCACUUAUAGAUGGAUCCGCGCCGCAUUAGCUAGUUGGUAAGGUAACGGCUUACCAAGGCAACGAUGCGUAGCCGACCUGAGAGGGUGAUCGGCCACACUGGAACUGAGACACGGUCCAGACUCCUACGGGAGGCAGCAGUAGGGAAUCUUCCGCAAUGGGCGAAAGCCUGACGGAGCAACGCCGCGUGAGUGAUGAAGGUCUUCGGAUCGUAAAACUCUGUUAUUAGGGAAGAACAAAUGUGUAAGUAACUAUGCACGUCUUGACGGUACCUAAUCAGAAAGCCACGGCUAACUACGUG
rnacentral:rRNA from 1 species